GGCGAUUCGUUCCGCGAGUUUCUCGCACUUCUCCCCGGUGCCUUCUUCAUCCCCAGGCAAGCCACAAUACCCACUUGCAUGAUAGUCAUGCAGUAGCCAUGGUUUUCAACUUCAAUAUUUAAUAAAUGUUUGCUUGUUGAAAAGAUGGUUAUCGUUGUUCCGGUGAUGAUUAGAUUUGCAUGUUCACUUUUGUGCUAUGUUGUCUUAUACUGUGUGAUCAUGUUAUACCUGCUAGUAUUACCUUUCAUAUGUUUAUGCUUGUUAGUAAAACAUGUUGAUGUUGGAGAUGGUCAUCGUAGUCAAUAUGCGAUGCUCAGUGGAUAUGAUUUAUUGUUGAUAUGGUGGAAAGUUAUGUGAUACUCUCAUGAUGAUGUUGAUAUCAUGUUCAUGCAUUUUAUCAUGGCUCAGCAUAUUUGCAUUCAAGUUAACUGGAUUAAAUUGAACUUGAACAAUUGUUGGCUGAGUCAUGGUGCCGCUGAAUCGAUGCUGACCAGUGCAACCACGCUUACCGGUAUGGGACGGUCCUAACUGGGUCUAUUGUCGUGCCUCUCGCCGGUACCUCCAACGAGGGAAGGUUAUGGGCGUGCUGUACCCAGGCCUGGUAAGUAGGCAUAACCAUGUGUGCACGUAGUUGUUAUAGUCAACGGAUCCCCAUGUGGGAUCGUUUAUGUUUUGGCCAUGGCGGUGGUCCUUGUGUCUCGAGGUAGACACGGGGCCACCCAUGACUUAGCUAAGUGGGGAGUGAGUCGAAGUGGCCAGGAGAGUGUCAUGGCAGUAGGACGGUUUUGUUGGAACGAUGUUGGUCCACCCGAAUGGGAGUGCGAGGCCAUGGGUUCUGUAGUGUGGGUACAGUGUGCUAACCUUUGCAGAGUGUAUAUUAAAUCUAUCGAUAGCCGCGCCCACGGAUAAGGGCCCAGGUCGAAAGUAGGUCACACCAUGAGUCAACAGUAAUAAGAAUAACGUGUUUAAUAACAAUGAGAUAAGUUGGUUGUGAUCGCCGUAAGGAUCACAGUUUAGGGACAUUUAUUGGUCCGGUUAUGAUCGCCGUAAGGAUCACAGGCCAUUUAGUGGUCGGGUUGUGAUCGCUGGAAGGAUCACAGUUUGGGGCCAAGUGUUGGUAGGGUUGUGAUCACCGUAAGGAUCACCAUGGUAUUGAGGAUACCGAAAUGUGGUACAUUCGUGAUGUUGAACGAGAAUGUGGGUAAAGAUCAAGCUCCUUGUGGUCAUUUACUGAUUACUACGGUAUUGUUUAUACCAAGCUUGAUUUGAUCUUUAGAUGAUCGUGUAAUGUUCGAGGUUGGUAAGUGAUGCAUGAGUUGGUUACGAGGUAACCCGAGAAGAAUGAGUUUUGCAUGAUAGUGUCAUCAUGCUGCAUGCUAGUAUUGUCGGAUCAAUAUGUUCAUGUUGUGAUAGCUGUAUCAUGUUUAUGUUGGUCAUGCCAUGUUGUUUUGAUGAUAUCAUGUUAAUCCCUGAUUAACCUGUAAUUGCCAUGCUGUUGUCUGUCUUGAAUGCUUCUGGUUAUUUGUGAGCUUGCAAGUACAUUCAAUGUACUGACCUGGCGUGUCAUGCCAGCUUGCAGGUCAUUCCGGAUUUGAUUGCUUGCUUGUCAUGGUUUCCGUCCGUGCGAGCUAGGCUAAGCGUUCCAGCCAGAGUCCCUGCGGAGUGGAGUUCACCACCGUCGUUGUUGUUCCAUUGCUAGAGUUAUUCCGCUGCAUUGAGUUGUUCUGCUGCUUGCAUAGAGCAACUGAGGAUGGUGUAGUGUCGCUGUACCGAUGUAAUUCAUUGUAAUAUUGGCAACCUUGUAUUCAUAUUCGUGUAAUAAUAGAAGGCUGGUUUGUUCUAUGCUAAGAAGUGCUGUAUUCCAGAAGACUUCUCCUCGAUCUCCGGGCUAGAAUAUGAGGCAUUCCGGUUUUCUCUGAGCCGGGGUGCCACAGCGCUUGGUAUCAGAGCAGAUCUGGCUGUAGGACGCCCUAGACCGCGCGAACGUUAGAAAGCGGUAGUAUGGACCCCAGCUGGUUUGUUGCACUUGAUUGCUGCAUUUGUUUGUCGCAUAGCAUGCAUAUAGAUUAUUAUUUAGUCGCUAACGGUUUAUAUGGUGAGUGUAGCUGGCAUCAGUUCGGAUCCACUACAACUCAACCUUUGCAUUUCUCCAGUUCCUUUUUUCUUUCGGUGUUUGGUGUCAUUCUUGUCCCAGCAGAGUGAUGCCAAGUGAUCCCGACACUGUUUGCAAAAAUAGUGCUCAGGUAUCGCACCGAUGUCUUUCCUUCAGUCCCGCCUAUCGUAUCGGUGAUGAACAUGUUUCUAUCCCGGAUCGUUCUUUUAUUUUGUUGUGUUGGCAAUCCUUAAUGAUCUCAGUUAUCAAGAAAGGGCAAUGUCAGCAGCCUCAAUUUCCCCCCCGCUAUCCUAUUUCUUGGACGAGUAUAGAUCUUUUUCCGUCCGCUUGAUAAUAAUGUGGUUGUGACCUUCGUGUCCCACUACAUGAUUACCGAGUGUGUCCUCGCCUCCGAGCUGGUUCAGGUUGCCACCUGGCUAAGCUAGCACUUGGUGUAGCGCUGUUUACACCAAUUCCUCCACACAUUUAUUCGUCCUCGUGCACAUCGUCACAGCAUAUUAGACCGCAAUACCGGAGUUUCCGCGAGAUUUGUGUGCCUAGGUGUGCAUGCAUAUUAUUGUGUGAGUAGUAGUAAUAUGUGAUGGUUGCUUGAUUAAUUAUAUUAGUAAAAUGCUUGUGUGCUUUUGUUUUAGUCGUUUCUAUUGUUCCUUUCUUUGGGCCUUCGGUGUUACAAAGUUCUCCACUAUUAAACUUGCUCGUCAACCGACACUGGACCCGAAGAGUCAGCAAGAAAUGCAUGUAUUUGGAAACUCAGCUAAACACAAUGGAAUUAUCAGCUGACUGCAGUGAAAUCGGGAAUAUCUUGUCUGUAUGCAAAAGAAAUCCUGGAUGGACCGUCAGUAUCAAGUUUGCAUUAGUGUGCACUCAUCACAACAAAAUGAUUAAAUCAGCACGAAGAUAAAUUGUGUGCAAGGUUGAUAGAAUAUUAUCAAAGGUAUGGCUCAGAUACAAGUUUAAUUUGUCAUUGAGGAUGAUUUUGGAACUCGAUGUACCUGGAAGCAAGCAAAAAUAUGGCAUAUACUCAGAAAAGAGGAUAGUCCAGCAAAACCCUGUUUCAAUGCAAGAAAUCAAUAGCAAAAAUAUUAAGAUGGUAUGUAUAUGUGGAAAUUGGUCCGCAUAUCACAAUAAGAAGUUUAUGGUGUAAGCAACCCACUUUUCCCUUGCAAGAUACCAGAGAAGCUUCCAAGGAAAGAUUCAUCUAUCUCCCUCAGUACAAUACGUGGAUGAUUUCCCGUGCAAGGUACUAUGCCUUCUUCAGUAAGCAACCGCAAAAGCUUCCGGCAUAAGGUACCGAGUCUUUCCCCAGCAAAGACUUUAAGGGGGUAAGCUUCUGAAGCACGAUACCUAGUCUUUUUCAGCAAGCUGUCCGAUGAAAGUUUCGAGCACAAGCCAGCAAAUAUUCCUCAGUAAGACAUUGGUACAAGGUAGUACGCUGUGAAUUGACAGCAUAUGGCAGUGAAUCCCAAGAAUCAGAUCUGCAACAGUUUGGUCAGAAUCAAGAAUCAGUCAGAAUACACGUCUGUCUCGGAACCAGGUCCUCAUAUAUAUGCAAUGAGCAUACCAUCAAGACCUUACAAGUCACUUGGAUGAGGAUCUGACAACCACGUGAGGAUGGUUACGAGAAUAAAGCUAGUAUACACCGCAGUGUGACAAAGGAUUAUGAGGAUUGACGACCUCAGUGAGCUCAGUACAAGUACUUGUGAACUGGAAAAUGAUCCUGAUGAGCCCUUGUCCCCUUUUCUCCAAUGACGUCACCACGCCUGUGAUCUAAGAUGUUUCUAGCUAUCCAGGGUGGAUACCAUUUUUGUUUCUCUCUUCAACGACUGUCAUGAGUCUGAGCUGCUUUUCGGCCGUCUCGUACAUCUGUUGAGUUUCUUUUUGUGACAGUAGCCAUAUAGCUGCUUUUUGGCUAUUUUAGGGAGCUGUCACCUUCUUCUUAUCGACCCGGUCUCAUGCUCUGAGCUGUUUUUCGGCCGUCCUGAGCCGUGGUUGAGUUAUUUUAGUAAUGUCCUAGAUCUGAGUUGUAAAGACCAUUCUGGUGGCUACUUAUUGAUUUGCCGAGUUCUUGCCAGGGUUUUGGAUGAUCAUUUCUCAACGCUCAGAAAUUGAGAGGUGUUGAACAUGCCAUUUAAUGGGUUACCCUGUCAGAAAAAUAAGGAUAAACUACAAUUGCCAAAAAAUUGCACCGACAGUACCUAUGGUCAUACGAAGAAGCAAUAUGGCCUUGGUAUUUCAUCCAAAGAUCCAGGCCAAGAAAACAAUAAUGAAGGAGCAAGGGUAGUGAUACAGGUAUGAAAAUUUUACACGACCCCCAUGGUGUAGAUCCCCCGGACCAUCUAGGUCAGUAUUGAUCCACAUGGAUAUGCCUACAGCAUGAGUAAUCGGCAUAAGGAAUAACAGUCUGGAAGCCCGAGUCCUCACUUAUAUGAAUCAUCAUGGAUAGCCUGUCGUGAAUAAGAUUUUUCCGUCAGAAUCACCGCCAGUCAAGUCUGCGGAUAUUAUCAUAUAGGCAAACCCUUUAUGUUGGCCGCGACAGGAGACAAUCAAAUAUUUGGUACGGAUCCGAUACUCACGACAGUGGAACCAGUUAAGAUGAUUCAUAAACUUCUGCAAUGAGUCAGAGCUUGAGUUUUCAUCAGAAAAUUUUGAUCAUCAUUACAUGAAAGGUUGUCAGUGUCGGACGGCACACCUAGCGGAAAUCACUUUUGGAUUUGUGAGACGGACAUAUAAUUCAGUCGUGAAAAUUAAAUCACACUCAACUAGUCAGUAGAUCUAAAAAGAAAUUGGAGCCUAUAUAAGCAUGAAUAAGCCAGGUAAGAUCUGUCAGAAGGAGGAUACAGUGAAUCAAACCACCCCAAGGCCAGUCAGAUAAAAAUUUAAUGGGAACAACAAUGAAGGAAAAAGGAUACCCAAGUUGGAAACGGUUUCCUUAAGUCAGAAUAUUCAUACUUGUUCCCUGAGCAACCAAAUCUCGAGGACAAGAUUUCUUUAAAGGGGUAAGGUUUGUGACAGCCUGAUUUUUGGCCCUUUCUUUUUCUUUUGUUUUUCCGAGGUUUUUGCCUAAGUUUUCUUUUUCCGUGGCUUUGUGUUCUGGAAACUAAAGAAGAUGCCCUCUUCUUUGCUUCUAGAGUGGCUUGUCAUUCCCAAAUCCUUCCCUAGACCCUGUCCUUUCCAUCCUAGCCCAAAUCCCAAUAUUCUUUUUAUUGGGAAUAUUCCUUUUCUAUUAAAGGAAUAACUCAAAUUACCCUAGGUUGUGAAGCAACCUAUAUUUCCCUCACUCCUAAGAUUCCCAAAUAAUUCUCAUUAAUUGUUUGGGUCAUAUAUUGAUCAAAUAUGGCAAAAUUGUUCAUUGCCAUGUUCAAAAAUAAUCGUCCAAUAAUUCAUUUCCUAUUCUGCCCUAAAUGGCACUUUGUGAAGGAAGUGUCAUUUAUAUUUCUACUAUUGACUCCCAACCUUUUUGGGCAUGUUUAUAUGUCCAAAUAGUUGCCUCAUGCACAAUUUCAACUUUAUUUGCCUAGCCAAUCUUCCUUAGUGAAUUUUCAAAGUUUCUAUCAAACAAAAAGCUUUGUGAAGGAAGUACUAGCUAGGAGUACCCAAAUGAGUUGAACUUUUGCACACUCCUUAAUGUGCUCAUAUUAAACCCCUUCACCCAUUUGUAGCCACAUACAAUCAUCUAUGUGAGCAUAGGAGCAAAUCUUUGUUUCUUGCAAUAUUUUCAGGUUGUGAAGCAAGUAUAUUUUAUAUUGUUUCAAAAUCCUGAUAAAUUACCAGAUCAUUCUUAUACCCAUAAAAAAUCUCUCCACCCAUUUUGGCAUCAUUUCAUUGAUCCAUUUGAUCACCAUAAUUAUUCCAAGUUUCUGGACAGAAAUGAUGUUUGUGAAGCAAGUGCCAUUUUGGCUUGUCCAUUUGGCAUGAGAUUUUUACAGCAUCAUCAUAUGAGCAAAUGACUAAGCUUUGCCCAAUUUGAGAUCAAGUGGACACUCCAUGUGAGUGCACCAUCAUGAUCUUCAUUUCUGGACAAUUUUGGCAGUUGCAAAGCAACUGCAGUAAAUCUUGAUCCUUUUACCCUCAAAACCUCCAGGACUGUAGUCCUUCCUAGCCUAAACACCCCAGACAACUUCUUUGGCUUCAAGUAACUCCUUAGUGAUCACAUUGAGCUGGUAAAGUUUACUGCAGUAAACUUCAAAGCUCACUAACUAUUUAACCAGAGCCUCUUUCACCAAGUUACCACCUCAGUUGAAACUACUAUUCGAAGGACUUACCACUAGACAUAAAUUUCCAGCCGUUUGCCUCCCCCACAUGCCAGCACAGGUGGUGACCGCCGUUUUGUCAUGCCAUGCGCACAUCCAGUGGUUGUUUGUGCUAGACCCCCUCCCCCUCUCGUUGGCUUCACGCCCUUGAUGAUGUCUAGUAGAUAGCCCUCAUCGUCGCCGUCCUCCUGGACCCCUCUCCCCUUCCGGCAGCUUCCUCGCCGACGCUCGCCGACGAACACCCACAGGAGCACUAUGGCCGACAGUGCAUUAAUGGCGCCCGGCUUCUUCCUCUGCUCCCCUCGACCCCGUGAGCUCUGUGCCUCGUCCGCGUUCUCCUUCGUCGCUUUCCCCGUGCCCCCCUCCCCCGUGCUCGCUGGCCGCGCCAGAGCCUCGGCCAUAUGCACACAGCGGCACCCGAGCCCCUCCCUCUCGUCCGACUAUAUAUAGCCAUCCCCGCGGCCUCCCGAGCUCACCUCUCGCAUCACCACUUCCCCAGGAGCCCACCCAUGCACUCGCCUGAGAUUCUGGAGCUCUACUCGACCACCAUAGCCGCCAUGGCCGCCGCCCCCUCCGGCUUAAAUUCACCCAAUGCAGAGCCUCCCCCUCCGUUCGUCCACCACCACUGGCUUCCCCACCUCCCGUAGGGCCUCCCCAACCCAUUCGCUCGUCGCCGGAGCCUCUGUGGUCGCCGUCCCCAAUCUUAGCCGCCGUCGUCUGCAGCUCCUGCCACCGCACGGUGCCGCGUCCACACCCCUCCCCGGUGCUCCCUCUACCCUGGGAUGGAGGCGACACGCCAUCCUGAAGCCGUCGGUGUCCUCCCCCUGGCCGGAGGAGAGGAGGAGCAGAUGCGGGGGAGAAGAAGAAGGAGGCGGGAGGAGAGAGUCAACGCCCGUGGGACCCGCCUGGCAGUGAGACAAGGGCCGGCCCCGCCACUGCCACAUCAUGUAAGUGGAAGCGUAUUCCCCAGAAUACGCUUUCCAUUUUUCUGUUUUUGCCUAGUCUGUAAAAUAAUUUUUUACAGAUAGGUCCCUGGCAGUAAAACCCUUAUAUCUUUUUAUCCGUAGAUCCAAAUCAGGUGAAACCAACGCUCACUUCUUUGUUUUGUCGAGCCCUCUCUGUUGGUGUCACUUUCAUUAUGUUUUGGCAUACAGAAAAUGACCAUUUUUCCCCUGCCCAUACUCAGCCCCCUCCGAGAGAGAACAUUUUCCGAUGAUUCAUUCCGCGAGUUUCUCGCAGUUCUCCCCGGUGUCUUCUUCAUCCCCAAGCAAGCCACAAUACCCACUUGCAUGAUAGUCACGCAGUAGCCAUGGUUUUCAACUUGAAUAUUUAAUAAAUGUUUGCUUGUUGAAAAGAUGGUUAUCAUUGUUUCGAUGAUGUUCAGAUUUGCAUGUUCACUUUUGUGCUAUGUUGUCUUAUACUCUAUGAUCAUGUUAUACCUGCUAGUAUUACCUUUCAUAUGUUUAUGCUUGUUAGUAGUACAUGUUGAUGUUGGAGAUGGUCAUGCUAGUCAGUAUGCGAUGCUCAAUGGAUAUGAUUUAUUGUUGAUAUGGUGGAAAGUUAUGUGAUACUCUCAUGAUGAUGUUGAUA
rnacentral:lncRNA from 1 species